GUGGACGCAAAACCCCGGGUGUACUGGAUGUCCAGACUGCGACAUCCAAACAGUCUCUGAAGACGGUUGAGGACAAAAAUCAGGUGAUUGAGGUCAGGAGGAAGCAAGCAGCAGGCUCCAAACAUGAAGAAAAGGCAGCCACUGCUGACACUGCAGCCGCGAAAGCUCCGAAAAUGCAGUCCAAACCUUCGAAGGGUGAAAGUAAACAUGCAGGAGUCACACCUCCAGUUAAAACUGAUCAGAAAGAUUCAACCGGCUCUGACCUGAGCGAUGCUCUGGGUGAGGACAGCACGGCCAGCUCUCCACUGGCUUCUGAGGAAAAAGAUGUGUCGAAAAAAUCAAAGAACGAGAGAAACAGAAAGGAGGCAGAGAAGAAAAAUUCAUCCGCUACCAGGGUAAUAGCUGGAGCUGCUACGCUCGCUGCAGGAGCGCUUUUAGUCCGAGAAAUGGCUUCAGGACGCCCCGGCAGCUCCCCGACAAUGUCCCAGAGCAGCCAGAAGGACACGGAGACGUCCUCAAGGAGAGACGCUGCUGAUUCCAGCAAGAAGUCUGAAGUCAGCAUUAACAUCAUACCUGCACCUGAGAGUCCUGGAGACAGGACGAGUCAGGAAGAGGAGGACAGGAGUCAGGAAGAGGAGGAUAAGAGUCAGGAAGAGGAGGACAGGAGUCAGGAAGAGAAAGACACGAGUCAGGAAGAGGACAGGAGCCAGGAAGAGGAGGACUCUAGUCAUACAGAGAAGGGUGCACAUCAGGACGAGAAGGACACAAGUCAGGAUGAAGAGGGUACAAGUCAGGACGAGGAAGACACCAGUCAAUCUGAGAAGGUAACAAGUCAUGUGGAGGAAGAUAAAAGUCAGGAAGAGGAAGGCACAAGUCAAGAUGAGAAGGAAAGCGGUGCUGAUCUGACAAACACAAGUCAGGAUGAGAGUGAGGACCAGUCGGAAUCUGCAGCCGUCAACCAGGAGGAGGAGGAAGAUGAUGAAGAUGAGGAUGAUGAAAAAGGACUGACGAGUGCAUCAGUCAGUGAGGAGGAGGAAGAUGCCAGUCGGAGUACUGACACGGUAACAAAUGAGAAAGAGGAGGAGGAGGAAGACAGUGAAGACAGUGACACUCUUCAAGCAGAAGCUCAGUCAGGAACAGAUGUGGAGGAAGAGGAGGGUGAGGAAGAGGAGGACCGAAGCAAUAGUGGGG
rnacentral:lncRNA from 1 species